rnacentral:rRNA from 1 species
AACAGGAUUAGAUACCCUGGUAGUCCAUGCCGUAAACGAUGUCUACUAGCCGUUGGGGCCUUUGAGGCUUUAGUGGCGCAGCUAACGCGAUAAGUAGACCGCCUGGGGAGUACGGUCGCAAGACUAAAACUCAAAUGAAUUGACGGGGGCCCGCACAAGCGGUGGAGCAUGUGGUUUAAUUCGAUGCAACGCGAAGAACCUUACCUGGCCUUGACAUACUAAGAACUUUCCAGAGAUGGAUUGGUGCCUUCGGGAACUUAGAUACAGGUGCUGCAUGGCUGUCGUCAGCUCGUGUCGUGAGAUGUUGGGUUAAGUCCCGCAACGAGCGCAACCCUUUUCCUUAUUUGCCAGCGGGUAAUGCCGGGAACUUUAAGGAUACUGCCAGUGACAAACUGGAGGAAGGCGGGGACGACGUCAAGUCAUCAUGGCCCUUACGGCCAGGGCUACACACGUGCUACAAUGGUCGGUACAAAGGGUUGCUACCUCGCGAGAGGAUGCUAAUCUCAAAAAGCCGAUCGUAGUCCGGAUCGCAGUCUGCAACUCGACUGCGUGAAGUCGGAAUCGCUAGUAAUCGCGGAUCAGAAUGCCGCGGUGAAUACGUUCCCGGGCCUUGUACACACCGCCCGUCACACCAUGGGAGUUUGUUGCACCAGAAGUAGGUAGUCUAACCGCAAGGAGGACGCUUACCACGGUGUGGCCGAUGACUGGGGUGAAGUCGUAACAAGGUAACC